rnacentral:rRNA from 1 species
CAGCAGUAGCCGCGGUAAUACGAAGGGUGCAAGCGUUAAUCGGAAUUACUGGGCGUAAAGCGUGCGUAGGCGGUGAGUUAAGUCUGCUGUGAAAUCUCCGGGCUCAACCUGGGAAUGGCAGUGGAUACUGGCUCGCUAGAGUGUGUCAGAGGAUGGUGGAAUUCCCGGUGUAGCGGUGAAAUGCGUAGAGAUCGGGAGGAACAUCAGUGGCGAAGGCGGCCAUCUGGGACAACACUGACGCUGAGGCACGAAAGCGUGGGGAGCAAACAGGAUUAGAUACCCGCGUAGUCCCUGUCUCUUAUAC